rnacentral:lncRNA from 1 species
AUAGAAACUGCCCUUGUGUGAUGCAAGCCACACGCUGUUUACCGGUCACUUCGGAGGUGGCCAUUCUUGUGCACAGCAGUGCCUGGUCUGCAGCGUGGAUGAAGCAGGACGUGGGGUGCCUUCCAACGGAGUCCCUGAAAGGGAAAGACUUUGGAAGCCAGCCACUCGCAAGAAAGUAAGAAAGAGGAGGAGUUACAUACCUGACUCGGGCAGCCUGUGUCCCGUGCUCGGCCGCAAGGAGGAGACCCUUUCAGCCUUACGAUGGUGGAGAAGGAUCCAAAAGAUGAAGAGAUUAAGCCUGGAGAUCCAGGCUACGUGCAGCCCGGCAUGUGAGGGGAGUCCCUUGCUGG